GUGGGGUAUAUUGGACAAUGGGGGGAACCCUGAUCCAGCCAUGCCGCGUGUGUGAAGAAGGCCUUUUGGUUGUAAAGCACUUUAAGCGAGGAGGAGGCUACCGAGAUUAAUACUCUUGGAUAGUGGACGUUACUCGCAGAAUAAGCACCGGCUAACUCUGUGCCAGCAGCCGCGGUAAUACAGAGGGUGCGAGCGUUAAUCGGAUUUACUGGGCGUAAAGCGUGCGUAGGCGGCUUUUUAAGUCGGAUGUGAAAUCCCCGAGCUUAACUUGGGAAUUGCAUUCGAUACUGGGAAGCUAGAGUAUGGGAGAGGAUGGUAGAAUUCCAGGUGUAGCGGUGAAAUGCGUAGAGAUCUGGAGGAAUACCGAUGGCGAAGGCAGCCAUCUGGCCUAAUACUGACGCUGAGGUACGAAAGCAUGGGGAGCAAACAGGAUUAGAUACCCCAGUAGUCC
rnacentral:rRNA from 1 species